GACGAACGCUGGCGGCGCGCCUAACACAUGCAAGUCGAACGAGCGAGAGAGAGCUUGCUUUCUCGAGCGAGUGGCGAACGGGUGAGUAACGCGUGAGGAACCUGCCUCAAAGAGGGGGACAACAGUUGGAAACGACUGCUAAUACCGCAUAAGCCCACGGGUCGGCAUCGACCAGAGGGAAAAGGAGCAAUCCGCUUUGAGAUGGCCUCGCGUCCGAUUAGCUAGUUGGUGAGGUAACGGCCCACCAAGGCAACGAUCGGUAGCCGGACUGAGAGGUUGAACGGCCACAUUGGGACUGAGACACGGCCCAGACUCCUACGGGAGGCAGCAGUGGGGAAUAUUGCACAAUGGGGGAAACCCUGAUGCAGCGACGCCGCGUGGAGGAAGAAGGUCUUCGGAUUGUAAACUCCUGUUGUUGAGGAAGAUAAUGACGGUACUC
rnacentral:rRNA from 1 species